AUGGAGCCAUCGACCAAGCUCUUCCUCGUGCUCCUCGGCCUAAACUUGAUGGUCACCGCUGUGCACGGUGGUUGCGGACCCCACUGCCCUACCCCGACCCCACCGCCGCCUCCAUCGACCAACGGCGGCUCGUGCUCGAUUGACACGUUGAAGCUGCGCGUGUGCGCCAACGUGCUGAAACUGCUGAAGCUCGGGCUUGGCGUGCCGCCCAGCGAGCGGUGUUGCCCGCUGCUGGCCGAUCUGGCCGACCUGGACGCUGCGGUGUGCCUCUGCACCGCCAUCAGGGCCAAGGUCCUCGGCGUCAUCAAGCUCAAUGUCCCCGUCGACCUGGUGCUCCUGCUCAACCACUGCCACAAGACCUGCCCGCCUGGCUUCACCUGCCCGCACUGA
rnacentral:rRNA from 1 species